GGCGAUAUCAUUUAAUGGUAAGAUUUUAGAUUGCAAAUCUAAUUAUCUCAGUUCAACUCUGAGUGUCGUCU
rnacentral:tRNA from 1 species